rnacentral:rRNA from 1 species
GAUGAACGCUGGCGGCGUGCCUAAUACAUGCAAGUCGAGCGAACAGACGAGGAGCUUGCUCCUCUGACGUUAGCUGCGGACGGGUGAGUAACACGUGGAUAACCUACCUAUAAGACUGGGAUAACUUCGGGAAACCGGAGCUAAUACCGGAUAACAUAUUGAACCGCAUGGUUCAAUAGUGAAAGACGGUAUUGCUGUCACUUAUAGAUGAAUCCGCGCCGCAUUAGCUAGUUGGUAAGGUAACGGCUUACCAAGGCAACGAUGCGUAGCCGACCUGAGAGGGUGAUCGGCAACACUGGAACUGAGACACGGUCCAGACUCCUACGGGAGGCAGCAGUAGGGAAUCUUCCGAAAUGGGCGAAAGCUUGACGGAGCAACGCCGCGUGAGUGAGGAAGGUCUUCGGAUCGUAAAACUCUGUUAUUAGGGAAGAACAAAUGUGUAAGUAACUAUGCACGUCUUGACGGUAGCUAAUCAGAAAGCCACGGCUAACUACGUG